rnacentral:rRNA from 1 species
GACGAACGCUGGCGGCGUGCUUAACACAUGCAAGUCGAACGCUGAAGCUUGGUGCUUGCACUGGGUGGAUGAGUGGCGAACGGGUGAGUAAAACGUGAGUAACCUGCCCUUGACUCUGGGAUAAGCCUGGGAAACUGGGUCUAAUACUGGAUACGACAUGCCACUGCAUGGUGGUGUGUGGAAAGGGUUUUACUGGUUUUGGAUGGGCUCACGGCCUAUCAGCUUGUUGGUGGGGUAAUGGCCUACCAAGGCGACGACGGGUAGCCGGCCUGAGAGGGUGACCGGCCACACUGGGACUGAGACACGGCCCAGACUCCUACGGGAGGCAGCAGUGGGGAAUAUUGCACAAUGGGCGGAAGCCUGAUGCAGCGACGCCGCGUGAGGGAUGACGGCCUUCGGGUUGUAAACCUCUUUCAGCACGGAAGAAGCGAGAGUGACGGUACGUGCAGAAGAAGCGCCGGCUAACUACGUG